UCCACACGUGGAUUCCGUGGUCUGGCUGC
rnacentral:piRNA from 1 species